ACGUAGGGUGCGAGCGUUAAUCGGAAUUACUGGGCGUAAAGCGUGCGCAGGCGGUUUUGUAAGCCAGAUGUGAAAUCCCCGGGCUCAACCUGGGAAUGGCAUUUGGGACUGCAAGGCUGGAGUGUGGCAGAGGGGACUAGAAUUCCUGGUGUAGCAGUGAAAUGCGUAGAUAUCAGGAGGAAUACCGAUGGCGAAGGCAGGUCCCUGGGUUAACACUGACGCUCAUGCACGAAAGCGUGGGGAGCAAACAG
rnacentral:rRNA from 1 species